CCUACGGGAGGCAGCAGUGAGGAAUAUUGGUCAAUGGUCGGGAGACUGAACCAGCCAAGCCGCGUGAGGGAUGAAGGUACAGAGUAUCGUAAACCUCUUUUGUCAGGGAACAAAGGCGGGGACGUGUCCCCGGAGGAGUGUACCUGAAGAAAAAGCAUCGGCUAACUCCGUGCCAGCAGCCGCGGUAAUACGGAGGAUGCGAGCGUUAUCCGGAUUUAUUGGGUUAAAAGGGUGCGCAGGCGGUCUGUUAAGUCAGCGGUCAAAGCUCGGGGCUCAACCCCGGCCCGCCGUUGAAACUGGCAGUCUCGAGUUGGAGAGAAGUAUGCGGAAUGCGCGGUGUAGCGGUGAAAUGCAUAGAUAUCGCGCAGAACUCCGAUUGCGAAGGCAGCAUGCCGGCUCCACACUGACGCUGAGGCACGAAAGCGUGGGUAUCGAACAGGAUUAGAUACCCCAGUAGUC
rnacentral:rRNA from 1 species